rnacentral:lncRNA from 1 species
AUCAUUGCAACCGUUGGUUGCAAUUGUUCACUCUCUAUGCGAGGAGGCUUAGUAAUUUGCAAAUGAAAUAGAAAAACAAGAAACUAGUUGUUAAUCAGAGAGAUAGAAAGUUUCAUUGUUCAAAGAUCAUCAAAGAUCUUUGAAGAAACACAUAUAAACAAUAAAACUCUUUCUGUCUUAUCGUAUAAAGAGAUUUUGUGUUUACAUUAUAGAACAAGAGAUUUUGUGUUUAUAUCAUAGCCUUGAACAAGAGUGAGAUUUUGUGUUUAUAUUAUAUCAUAUAAAGAGUGAGACCUUAGGCAGAGUUUAGUAGGCUUAAGGAGCCGAGGCUGGGUGGUAAUAUUUUCUUCACACUGAUCUCCGUUAGAUUAUAGAAACGGGAUAACGUAACAGAUUCUUAGAGUAGUUUGAGCUUGAGAAACUCCAUAUUCAACAUAAGUUCCCUCUCAUGAAGAUCCUCCACUUGAUGACAGAGCUCCAAGAUUAGAUAGGAAAGAGAAGAAGCAUUAAGAAAAUAAGAUAAUUAAAAGUAUAUUGGUUUGUUUUCUGUUAAAAGAAGACGAGAAUGUUAGCAAAAGAACAUAAAAGAAGAGGUUUGGUAGAUGUUUUGUCACAGAAAAUGUAUCUUUUCUGGCCUGUGGGAAAGCAGCAGAAGCGGCGGAUCAGGGCUGGCCUGUGGGAAAGCAGCAGAAGCGGCGGGGGAGAACGCAAAAAAAAAAAAAAAAAAAAAAUUUUUAAN